rnacentral:rRNA from 1 species
UACGUAGGGGGCUAGCGUUGUCCGGAAUCACUGGGCGUAAAGGGCGCGUAGGCGGCUCAUGAAGGCUGUGGUGAAAGUCCGGGGCUCAACCUCGGAUCGGCCGUGGCGACUCGUGGGCUGGAGCGCUGUAGAGGCGGGUGGAAUUCCGGGUGUAGCGGCGGAAUGCGUAGAGAUCCGGAAGAACACCAGUGGCGAAGGCGGCCCGCUGGGCAGUGGCUGACGCUGAAGCGCGAAAGCGUGGGGAGCAAACAGG